CCUACGGGGGGCAGCAGUGGGGAAUAUUGGGCAAUGGAGGAAACUCUGACCCAGCGACGCGGCGUGCGGGAUGAAGGCCUUCGGGUUGUAAACCGCUUUCAGCAGGGAAGAAGCGAAAGUGACGGUACCUGCAGAAGAAGCACCGGCUAACUAUGUGCCAGCAGCCGCGGUACUACAUAGGGUGCAAGCGUUGUCCGGAAUUAUUGGGCGUAAAGAGAUCGUAGGUGGUUCGGUAGGUCGGAUGUGAAAAUCUGUGGCUCAGCCCAAGACCUGCAUUCUAUACGGGCGAACUAGAGUGUGGAAGGGGGGACUGAAAUUCCUGGGGGGGCGGAGGAUUGCGCAGAUAUCGGGAGGAAAACCAAUGGCGAAGGCAGGGCUCUGGGCCAUUACUGUCACUGAGGAGCGAAAGCGUGUGGAGCGAACAGGAUUAGAUACCGCUGUAGUC
rnacentral:rRNA from 1 species